GGGUUGUGAGGUUAAGCGACUAAGCGUACACGGUGGAUGCCCUGGCAGUCAGAGGCGAUGAAGGACGUGCUAAUCUGCGAAAAGCGUCGGUAAGGUGAUAUGAACCGUUAUAGCCGGCGAUGUCCGAAUGGGGAAACCCAGUGCAAUUCGUUGCACUAUCGUUUGAUGAAUACAUAGUCAAACGAGGCGAACCGGGGGAACUGAAACAUCUAAGUACCCCGAGGAAAAGAAAUCAACCGAGAUUCCCCCAGUAGCGGCGAGCGAACGGGGAGCAGCCCGGAGUCUGAAUCAGCUUGUGUGUUAGUGGAAGCGUCUGGAAAGUCGCAGGGUACAGGGUGAUACUCCCGUACACUAAAACGCACAGGUUGUGAACUCGAAGAGUAGGGCGGGACACGUGGUAUCCUGUCUGAAUAUGGGGGGACCAUCCUCCAAGGCUAAAUACUCCUGACUGACCGAUAGUGAACCAGUACCGUGAGGGAAAGGCGAAAAGAACCCCGGCGAGGGGAGUGAAAAAGAACCUGAAACCGUGUACGUACAAGCAGUAGGAGCCCACUAGUUGGGUGACUGCGUACCUUUUGUAUAAUGGGUCAGCGACUUAUAUUCUGUAGCAAGGUUAACCGUAUAGGGGAGCCGCAGGGAAACCGAGUCUUAACUGGGCGUUAAGUUGCAGGGUAUAGACCCGAAACCCGGUGAUCUAGCCAUGGGCAGGUUGAAGGUUGGGUAACACUAACUGGAGGACCGAACCGACUAAUGUUGAAAAAUUAGCGGAUGACUUGUGGCUGGGGGUGAAAGGCCAAUCAAACCGGGAGAUAGCUGGUUCUCCCCGAAAGCUAUUUAGGUAGCGCCUCGUGAACUCAUCUUCGGGGGUAGAGCACUGUUUCGGCUAGGGGGUCAUCCCGACUUACCAACCCGAUGCAAACUACGAAUACCGAAGAAUGUUAUCACGGGAGACACACGGCGGGUGCUAACGUCCGUCGUGAAGAGGGAAACAACCCAGACCGCCAGCUAAGGUCCCAAAGUCAUGGUUAAGUGGGAAACGAUGUGGGAAGGCCCAGACAGCCAGGAUGUUGGCUUAGAAGCAGCCAUCAUUUAAAGAAAGCGUAAUAGCUCACUGGUCGAGUCGGCCUGCGCGGAAGAUGUAACGGGGCUAAACCAUGCACCGAAGCUGCGGCAGCGACGCUUAUGCGUUGUUGGGUAGGGGAGCGUUCUGUAAGCCGUUGAAGGUGGCCUGUGAGGGUUGCUGGAGGUAUCAGAAGUGCGAAUGCUGACAUAAGUAACGAUAAUGCGGGUGAAAAACCCGCACGCCGGAAGACCAAGGGUUCCUGUCCAACGUUAAUCGGGGCAGGGUGAGUCGACCCCUAAGGCGAGGCCGAAAGGCGUAGUCGAUGGGAAACAGGUUAAUAUUCCUGUACUCGGUGUUACUGCGAAGGGGGGACGGAGAAGGCUAUGUUGGCCGGGCGACGGUUGUCCCGGUUUAAGCAUGUAGGCGGAUGUUCCAGGUAAAUCCGGAACGUUAUUAACGCUGAGGUGUGAUGACGAGGCACUACGGUGCUGAAGUGACAAAUGCCCUGCUUCCAGGAAAAGCCUCUAAGCAUCAGGUAACAUCAAAUCGUACCCCAAACCGACACAGGUGGUCAGGUAGAGAAUACCAAGGCGCUUGAGAGAACUCGGGUGAAGGAACUAGGCAAAAUGGUGCCGUAACUUCGGGAGAAGGCACGCUGAUGGUAGGUGAAGUGACUUGCUCAUGGAGCUGAAAUCAGUCGAAGAUACCAGCUGGCUGCAACUGUUUAUUAAAAACACAGCACUGUGCAAACACGAAAGUGGACGUAUACGGUGUGACGCCUGCCCGGUGCCGGAAGGUUAAUUGAUGGGGUUAUCCGUAAGGAGAAGCUCUUGAUCGAAGCCCCGGUAAACGGCGGCCGUAACUAUAACGGUCCUAAGGUAGCGAAAUUCCUUGUCGGGUAAGUUCCGACCUGCACGAAUGGCGUAAUGAUGGCCAGGCUGUCUCCACCCGAGACUCAGUGAAAUUGAACUCGCUGUGAAGAUGCAGUGUACCCGCGGCAAGACGGAAAGACCCCGUGAACCUUUACUAUAGCUUGACACUGAACACUGGUCCUUGAUGUGUAGGAUAGGUGGGAGGCUUUGAAGUGUGGACGCCAGUCUGCAUGGAGCCAUCCUUGAAAUACCACCCUUUAAUGGCUGGUGUUCUAACGUGGGCCCGUAAUCCGGGUUGCGGACAGUGUCUGGUGGGUAGUUUGACUGGGGCGGUCUCCUCCUAAAGAGUAACGGAGGAGCACGAAGGUCAGCUAAUCCUGGUCGGACAUCAGGAGGUUAGUGCAAUGGCAUAAGCUGGCUUGACUGCGAGCGUGACGGCGCGAGCAGGUGCGAAAGCAGGUCAUAGUGAUCCGGUGGUUCUGAAUGGAAGGGCCAUCGCUCAACGGAUAAAAGGUACUCCGGGGAUAACAGGCUGAUACCGCCCAAGAGUUCAUAUCGACGGCGGUGUUUGGCACCUCGAUGUCGGCUCAUCACAUCCUGGGGCUGAAGUAGGUCCCAAGGGUAUGGCUGUUCGCCAUUUAAAGUGGUACGCGAGCUGGGUUUAGAACGUCGUGAGACAGUUCGGUCCCUAUCUGCCGUGGGCGCUGGAGAAUUGAGGGGGGCUGCUCCUAGUACGAGAGGACCGGAGUGGACGCAUCACUGGUGUUCGGGUUGUCAUGCCAAUGGCAUUGCCCGGUAGCUAAAUGCGGAAGAGAUAAGUGCUGAAAGCAUCUAAGCACGAAACUUGCCCCGAGAUGAGUUCUCCCUGACUCCCUGAGAGUCCUGAAGGAACGUUGAAGACGACGACGUUGAUAGGCCGGGUGUGUAAGCGCAGCGAUGCGUUGAGCUAACCGGUACUAAUGAACCGUGAGGCUUAACCUUACAACGCCGAAG
rnacentral:rRNA from 1 species